rnacentral:rRNA from 1 species
UAAUACAUGCAAGUCGAACGGUCUUUCUAUGGAAGCUUGCUUCCACUGAGAAGAGUAGUGGCGAACGGGUGAGUAACACGUGGGUAACCUGCCCAUAAGAGGGGGGAUAACAUCGGAAACGGGUGCUAAUACCGCAUAGUUUUCUUGAUCGCAUGAUCGGGAAAGGAAAGACGGCCUUUGUGCUGUCGCUUAUGGAUGGACCCGCGGCGUAUUAGUUAGUUGGUGAGGUAACGGCUCACCAAGACGAUGAUACGUAGCCGACCUGAGAGGGUGAUCGGCCACAUUGGGACUGAGACACGGCCCAAACUCCUACGGGAGGCAGCAGUAGGGAAUCUUCCGCAAUGGACGAAAGUCUGACGGAGCAACGCCGCGUGAGUGAAAGAAGGUUUUCGGAUCGUAAAACUCUGUUGUCAGAGAAGAACAAGUUGGAGAGUAACUGCUCCAGCCUUGACGGUAUCUGACCAGAAAGCCACGGCUAACUACGUGCCAGCCGCCGC